rnacentral:lncRNA from 9 species
GGGACAGACACCGGGCCAGGUACGACCCCACCACCAUCGCCCUCAUACCAGUCUACAGUCUAUACAACCUGGGCCAGGGUCUGAGUCCCAGAGUCAGGGGUUGGGGAGGGGCAUGGGCUGCACCUGAGAAACUCCUCUUCAGCUGCCCCUGGAGACUCCCAGCUUGGGGGUGGGGUCCCCUCCUUCUCUGCUCCUUCCUGCACCUCCGUGCUUCUCAGAGGCCUCCGGGACAUGAAGCAGAGUUUCAAGAUGAGGGAGCCACUGAGCUUCCCCUUGAACUGUAGCUGGACCAGAAGUGGCUGUUGUCCAGCCCACCCGGCCAGGCAGGGCUACCUGCACAGAUAAACGGCUCUGCCGCCGUAAAGCAUAUCAGCUUCCCAGGGAACCAGACAAACAGGGGCCGGCUUCUAGCAUGGAGCUCUCUCCAACUACCCCUACUUCCCCUGCACACACUCCCUUUUCAGGAGUCUAACUCAGAGCCAGCCCAGACAUCUAAACUUCAGGGCAAUAUGCUUAGCUGUGACCUGAAGGAUCAGAAACGGGACCACGACAGGCUGAAAACAUGAAUAGCAACCUUGGUGAGAGCUGCCCCUUUUCUGAGCACAGAAGCUCCCCUAGACCUCAUUUAAUUUUGAAACACCCCCAGGAAAGAUGGGAACACGCUGGAGGCCACAGAGCUUGUGCAUGGUAGGGCCCAGUCUCAAGCCCAGGUCCAUAGGACCCUGAGGCUAAUCAGUGGACUUCUCUCCAUCCAUGAGGAUUUCUCUUCCCCAGAUGGCAUUCAGCUAUGAGCUUCUAUUUUCCAUUCUCUAAGCAGAGUGCACCGAACCCAGGCCCCAGUCCCAAAAUAACUCAAACCAGCCCCACAAGCUGGAACUGAGGCCCCGGUUACUCCAGAGCCCAAUCCGGCCUCCCCUUGAAAAAGUUCCCAUUCAGCAAAAAAGAAAACAGGCAUCAUACAUAAAGUGUCACGCACCACACAAUUAGUCAGAAAAUGGGAAAUUUCGGGAGGGUUCAUAAUUAUUCAACAAACCUAUUUAGCAUGAUUCCCCCUGCCCCCGACUCUUCAUUUUCUCUCCCACAGCAAUCAGCAAUGCGGGCUCAUUACCCCUGAGAAUCUAACUGGCAAACCAGCUCCAUAAACGGAACCAAACAAGCAUACAUGAUGGGAAAACUUUGGACCAGCCAGUCAUUAGCCAAAGGUUUUCAAGUCAUGUCUCCAUUGCUUCCCCACCCCCACCCUCCCCUGCUGAGGAAGGCUGGCAGGGUGGUGUCUCAGGGCCAGGAAUAGGGGCUGGGGGCAUCACCCCAAGGCAAGGGGCAAGUCACCAGUCUUGAUUCUCGCAGAGCCCAACAGGGAGUCUCCCAGGAAGCCACUCUGUGUAUCAGCAGCAGGCACAGGUAGGAGUGUUGCCAGGUAGGUCCCCGUUUGCCCCGCACUGUCCCAUCCCUCUUUGCUUUCCACCACAGAGGGGCAGGCUGCUGUGAACUUGAACAGUCAUUCCCCUCCCUGUACCUCCAUUUCCUCAUCUGGAAAAGCAGUUCCCCCAGUACCCAUGUUAAAGGGCACAUGUAAGGAUGGAUUAAGUGUCGUGGUCUUGCAUUUCCCCUAGGAGGGGGUUAUAAGGACAUGGAGGCAUCCUCUAUAGGACUUCCUGGAAGUGUGAACCCCACCCCCACCCCAUAAGAGGGAAGGCUUCUCCGGGCUUGAGUGCUCAUUCACUCGUGCACCGGUCUCCCUGCCAAGUCCUCAACAUAGGUUAUUUCGAAUUCCCACAGCAACCCUAUAACAGGGUCUUCUGUAUGCACCCAUUUUACAGAAGGGAACACGGAGGAAGGCGCGCCACUUUGGGAAGAAGUGUGGAGAGAGGUCUUCCAAGAUAAGAGCCUGCGCCUGUCGCCCAAAGGACCCUGGUGGGAAUUAAACAGAACUCCUCAGAGAAGGUUCAGCCUCCCUCCAACCCCGAGCCCCUACCCUAGGCACUCAGGCCAUGAAGCAGAACCAGGACCAGUGGGCUUUGAAUGCCUUUCCCAAUCCGAUGAGGAAAUAGAGCUCAGAGAGUGGUGCUCUCCUGGUGUGUCUCUGCAUUCAAAUGUCCUUCUCCUUAUAAGGACACCUGUCACAUUGGACAUUGGGCUCAGCCUCUUCCAGUAUGACCACAUUUGAACUUGAUGACAUCUGCAAAGACCCUAUUUCCAAAUAAGGUCACAUUCACAGGCGCACAGGAUUUUGGGGGGUACACUGUUCAAAUCAGUACACUCUGGUUCUUUUAAAUCAACGAGAAUAUUUUCCGGCAACAGCAGCUUUUUUUCCCCCAAGAUCCACUGGAUAAAACCCAUAGAUAAGAAUUUCAUGCAGUUUUGUCCGGAUUCAGCAUGGUGUUUUAUAAUAUUUACUAUAACAUGUAUAAUCCAUUUCUGUAUUCUCAUCAAUUGUAUGCCAAUAAUUACUAAAACAACUGUAAUAACUCAAGACAGAAAAAAUAUUGUAACCCUUAGAGCUUUGUAGUUACAGACAAAUAUUAAAGACUUUUGAAA